CGAAAGCCUGACGGAGCAAGACCGCGUGAGGGAGGAAGGCUCUUGGGUUGUAAACCUCUUUUCUCAGGGAAGAAGCACUGACGGUACCUGAGGAAUCAGCAUCGGCUAACUCCGUGCCAGCAGCCGCGGUAAUACGGAGGAUGCAAGCGUUAUCCGGAUUUAUUGGGCGUAAAGCGUCCGCAGGUGGUAGUUCAAGUCGAUUGUCAAAGGCAGUAGCUUAACUACUGAGAGGCAGUGGAAACUGAAAGACUAGAGUGCGGUAGGGUUAGAGGGAAUUCCCGGUGUAGCGGUGAAAUGCGUAGAGAUCGGGAAGAACACCAGUGGCGAAAGCGCUCUGCUGGACCGGCACUGACACUGAGGGACGAAAGCCAGGGGAGCA
rnacentral:rRNA from 1 species